rnacentral:misc_RNA from 1 species
UCUCCGUUGGUGAACCAGCGGAGGGAUCAUUACAGAGUCGUAAAACACUCCCAAACCCAUGUGAACUUACCAUUGUUGCCUCGGCGGGCUACCCUGUAGACCGCCGGUGGACCAUUAAACUCUGGUUAUUCUAUGGAUAUCUGAGCGUCUUAUUUAAUAAGUUAAAACUUUCAACAACGGAUCUCUUGGUUCUGGCAUCGAUGAAGAACGCAGC